rnacentral:rRNA from 1 species
UACGUAGGGUGCAAGCGUUGUCCGGAAUUAUUGGGCCUAAAGCAUCCGUAGCCGGUCCUGCAAGUCUUCCGUUAAAUCCAGCUGCUCAACAGAUGGGCUGCGGGAGAUACUACAGGGCUAGGAGGCGGGAGAGGCAAGCGGUACUUUAUGGGUAGGGGUAAAAUCCGCUGAUCCAUAGAAGACCACCAGUGGCGAAGGCGGCUUGCCAGAACGCGCUCGACGGUGAGGGAUGAAAGCUGGGGGAGCAAACCGG